rnacentral:rRNA from 1 species
CAGUAGCCGCGGUAAUACGAAGGGGGCUAGCGUUGCUCGGAAUUACUGGGCGUAAAGGGAGCGUAGGCGGACAUUUAAGUCAGGGGUGAAAUCCCGGGGCUCAACCUCGGAAUUGCCUUUGAUACUGGGUGUCUUGAGUAUGAGAGAGGUAUGUGGAACUCCGAGUGUAGAGGUGAAAUUCGUAGAUAUUCGGAAGAACACCAGUGGCGAAGGCGACAUACUGGCUCAUUACUGACGCUGAGGCUCGAAAGCGUGGGGAGCAAACAGGAUUAGAUACCCGAGUAGUCCCUGUCUCUUAUAC